CUAUGCGCCUUGCCAGCCCGCUCAGGUGUGCUAGCCGCCGCGGUAAUACGUAGGGGGCAAGCGUUAUCCGGAAUUACUGGGUGUAAAGGGUGAGUAGGCGGCAUGGUAAGCCAGAUGUGAAAGCCUUGGGCUUAGCCCGAGGAUUGCAUUUGGAACUAUCAAGCUAGAGUACAGGAGAGGAAAGCGGAAUUCCUAGUGUAGCGGUGAAAUGCGUAGAUAUUAGGAAGAACACCAGUGGCGAAGGCGGCUUUCUGGACUGAAACUGACGCUGAGGCACGAAAGCGUGGGGAGCGAACAGG
rnacentral:rRNA from 1 species